UGAUACCAAGGUAAUUCAAAAUUGAAAGAUUUCAAAUUUAAAUAAUGUUUGGACAAAUUCACUGAAUAAGGAAGUUGUUCCAUUACUUACUUAUGAUAUCAUUUUUUGUUAACAUUUUGCUAUAAAGUUUAUUAAUGUGAGGUUUUUUUAUUUUUUUUUUAAACAAGAUCGACUGUAAGACAUUUAGGAGGGAAGGAUGUAAGCAUUAUGAAUUGUUUGGAGAGAUUUUUAGCGGGACUAUAGCUACUGGAGGUCUAGGCGAUGUUUCUACUUAGCUUCCGCCAACGUCAGAGGAAGAAAGAUGGCUAGAAGAUGAGUUUUUGAGAAGGUGCAUAUACGUGUGGAAAAUGAUAAUGAUGAAGUUUCAAAAAUUCGUUGACGUGAUGAUACUACGCCUAAAAACGUCGACGUAAGGAACUCAAAAUCCAUAAAGGUGAAAAACUUGAGGAAUGUAUGACGCAAUGGUCAUCUAUCAUUAGUAUGGGGAAUGAGGAAACAAACUUAGGAUGCUAUUCCUUGAAGAAAAGCUUGCACACAUCCAAGAAAAAUCAUCUAAUCACGAGGGCACUAGUGAAGUCUCUAGUCCAGAUCCUUAUUCGAAUAUGGCGUGUUUGACCAUUUAAAACAACAUGGAAGGAGUGUCUAACGAGAUUUAUAUGAAAGCAAUAGAGGUUUUCAAAGAUCCAGAUUUCAGGAUGAUAUUUGUAAUUAUACCAGAAAUUAUGAGAUGAUCUAUCUUGGAACUUCUUUGAUUUGCCUAAUUGGUCGGAUUGAGUAUUUUGAACUUAUAAUGUAGGAUUUUGUUCU
rnacentral:lncRNA from 1 species